AGGCCACCUACUGACCCCACAAAGAGUUGUGGCAAGGGUUCUUUAACAUGCAGAGUGGCACUGUCCCUACACAUAGGAACUAUACUUUUUAAAUUGCCAUUCCAAUUUUUGUUUGCUUUAAAUAUGAUAACAUAAGACGACUUUAAGGUGGGGGUCAUAAAAAAUAUUACAAUAAUCCCACCUUUUACACCACCCUCAAUGUUUAUUAUCUAGAACUCUGUUUACAAACAAUUUUGUUUUCAUAUAUUAUUUUUUGGUAUUUUCUUUUUUGAUAUUUUUUUGAUAUUUUUUUUUACAGAGCUCUAGAUAAUAAAAAUAUCAGAUGUUAAAGGUUAGAGGUUUUAACAAAGUCAUUCUAAUUCAGAAUAUUGCAAAAUUUUAAUGUUAGUUGAUUUUCUCAUUGUUGAAGUCCAUACAGUAACAUGCAACUUCAUUUGGUCUCUGUAGGAUAGUUGUCUCGCAUCUCUUCAUUUCAUAACAAAUCAAUUUGUAGGUUCUAUAAAGUGGGCCGAUGACGAAGGUAAGGGAAAUUUUGACUGCCAACUGAGAGGAGGAUAUGUUGGACAGAAAUUAAGCCUUGCAACAGGCCACCUACUGACCAGGCCUCAAAGACUUGUGGCAAGGGUUCUUUAACGUGCAGAGUGGCACUGUCCCUACACAUAGAAACUAUAUACUUUUUAAAUUGCCAUUCCAAUUUUUGUUUGUUUUAAAAAUGAUAACUUUAGAAGACUUUAAGGCGGGGGUCAUAAAAAAUAUUACAAUAAUCCCACCUUUUACACCACCCUCAAUGUUUAUUAUCUAGAACUCUGUUUACAAACGAUUUUGUUUUCAUAUAUUUUUUUUUGGUAUUUUCAUUUUUUAUAUUUUUUUUGAUAUUUUUUUUUACAGAGCUCUAGAUAAUAAAAAUAUCAGAUGUUAAAGGUUAGAGGUAUUAACAAAGUCAUUCUAAUUCAGAAUAUUGCAAAAUUUUAAUGUUAGUUGAUUUUCUCAUUGUUGAAGUCCAUACAGUAACAUGCAACUUCAUUUGGUCUCUGUAGGAUAGUUGUCUCGCAUCUCUUCAUUUCAUAACAAAUCAAUUUGUAGGUUCUAUAAAGUGGGCCUAUGAUGAAGGUAAGGGAAAUUUUGACUGCCAACUGAGAGGAGGAUAUGUUGGGACAGAAAUUAAGCCUUGCAACAGGCCACCUACUGACCCCUCAAAGACUUGUGGCAAGGGUUCUUUAACGUGCAGAGUGGCACUGUCCCUACAUAGGAACUAUAUACUUUUUAAAUUGCCAUUCCAAUUUUUGUUUUUUUAAAAAAUGAUAACUUUAGAAGACUUUAAGGCGGGGGUCAUAAAAAAUAUUACAAUAAUCCCACCUUUUACACCACCCUCAAUGUUUAUUAUCUAGAACUCUGUUUACAAACAAUUUUGUUAUCAUAUUAUUUUUUGGUAUUUUCAUUUUUUAUAUUUUUUUCUGUAUAUUUUUUUACAGAGCUCUAGAUAAUAAAACUAUCGGAUGUUAAAGGUUAGAGGUAUUAACAAAGUCAUUCUAAUUCAGAAUAUUGCAAAAUUUUAAUGUUGGAUGAUUUUCUCAUUGUUGAAGUCCAUACAGUAACCUAUUUUACAUCAACAUCAUUUGGUCUCUGUAGGAUAGUUGUCUCGCAUCUCUUCAUUUCAUAACAAAUCAAUUUGUAGGUUCUAUAAAGUGGGCCUAUGAUGAAGGUAAGGGAAAUUUUGACUGCCAACUGAGAGGAGGAUAUGUUGGACAGAAAUUAAGCCUUGCAACAGGCCACCUACUGACCCCUCAAAGACUUGUGGCAAGGGUUCUUUAACGUGCAGAGUGGCACUGUCCCUACACAUAGAAACUAUAUACUUUUUAAAUUGCCAUUCCAAUUUUUGUUUGUUUUAAAAAUGAUAACUUUAGAAGACUUUAAGGCGGGGGUCAUAAAAAAUAUUACAAUAAUCCCACCUUUUACACCACCCUCAAUGUUUAUUAUCUAGAACUCUGUUUACAAACAAUUUUGUUUUCAUAUUAUUUUUUGGUAUUUUCAUUUUUAUAUUUUUUUUGUAUAUAUUUUUUUGUAUUUUCAUUUUUUAUAUUUUUUUUUAUAUUUUUUUACAGAGCUCUAGAUAAUAACAAUAUCGGAUGAUAAAGGUUAGAGGUAUUAACAAAGUCAUUCUAAUUCAGAAUAUUGCAAAAUUUUAAUGUUGGAUGAUUUUCUCAUUGUUGAAGUCCAUACAGUAACCUAUUUUACAUCAACAUCAUUUGGUCUCUGUAGGAUAGUUGUCUCACAUCUCUUCAUUUCAUAACAAAUCAAUUUGUAGGUUCUAUAAAGUGGGCCUAUGAUGAAGGUAAGGGAAAUUUUCACCGCCAACUGAGAGGAGGAUAUGUUGGACAGAAAUUAAGCCUUGCAACAGGCCACCUACUGACCAGGCCUCAGACUUGUGGCAAGGGUUCUUUAACGUGCAGAGUGGCACUGUCCCUACACAUAGAAACUAUAUACUUUUUAAAUUGCCAUUCCAAUUUUUGUUUGUUUUAAAAAUGAUAACUUUAGAAGACUUUAAGGCGGGGGUCAUAAAAAAUAUUACAAUAAUCCCACCUUUUACACCACCCUCAAUGUUUAUUAUCUAGAACUCUGUUUACAAACAAUUUUGUUUUCAUAUUAUUUUUUGGUAUUUUCAUUUUUUAUAUUUUUUUUGUAUAUAUUUUUUUGUAUUUUCAUUUUUUAUAUUUUUUUUUAUAUUUUUUUACAGAGCUCUAGAUAAUAACAAUAUCGGAUGAUAAAGGUAAGAGGUAUUAACAAAGUCAUUCUAAUUCAGAAUAUUGCAAAAUUUUAAUGUUGGUUGAUUUUCUCAUUAUUGAAGUCCAUACAGUAACCUAUUUUACAUCAACAUCAUUUGGUCUCUGUAUGAUAGUUGUCUCGCAUCUCUUCAUUUCAUAACAAAUCAAUUUGUAGGUUCUAUAAAGUGGGCCGAUGAUGAAGGUAGGGGAAAUUUUGACUGCCAACUGAGAGGAGGAUAUGUUGGGCAGAAAUUAAGCCUUGCAACAGGCCACCUACUGACCCCUCAAAGACUUGUGGCAAGGGUUCUUUCACAUGCAGAGUGGCACUGUCCCUACACAUAGACACUAUACCGUAGUGCAUAGUUCUGAAUCUCGGUCAAGGUUUUACUAUAUUUUUGGUUUAAAGUUCUUAAAUGAUUGUAUUGGGUUCUUGACUUUCCAAUACUUUAGCCUCAAAUAUCACUGUCUGGAGAGAUUUUGUUGAAAUAAUUUCAAAAUGAUUUCUCAAACGUUUUCUGAUCAUUUUUGGUUAAAAAAUAUUCAUAUUUCCUUAAAUAACAGUUUUGUUGACUGAGUGCUCACAUCAAUAGAUAUAAACAAUUCACCAAAGUUUCAUGCAAUUUGAUGAAAGUGUUUUUGAAUUAAUGUCGACGAUGGACGGACAGACAGACAGACGGAUGGACAGACGGUCAAUGGUAUACCAUAAUAUGUCCCGUAAACGGGCGUAUAAAAAGUCAAAAAGAAACAAUGAACAAUGCCUUGAUUCCCCAAAAAAGUAAAACAUUUGUAUAAAUUUUAGACUAGACACCAUCAAAUUAAAUCUUGAGAAUAUGGCCUCUGAA